UUUGAAAAAUAAAAAAUUAAUUAAUUUUUAAAUAAUAAAAAUAAUUUUAAUAAUUUAAGUUUUAUUAUUAUAUAAGAAAAAAUUUUAUAAUUUAUAGUUAAUUAGUAUUGUGAAAGAAUUUUUGAAAUAAGUUAAAUAUAAAAUUUAUUAAAAGUAAAUUUUAUUUAUUGUAUCUUGUGUAUCAGAGUUUAUUAAUUAAAUAUUUUAUAAUAAAAUAUUCUCGAAUUUAAAAGAGUUAAUUAAUUAUUUUAAUUAAUGUGGUAUAAUUAUUAAUAAUAAUUAUUUUGAAAUGAAAUGUUAAACGUUUUUAAAUAUAUCUAGUUUUUUAAGAAAUAAAUUUAAUUUAUGUAAUAAAUAAUUAAUAUAUAUAUUAUUUUAUAUUUUAUAAUUUAUUACAAAUAUUUUAAGGGAUAAGUUUUAAAAUAAAUUAUUAAAUACGUGUGCUCUUCCGAUCUAAAUUAAAUUUAGUAUAAUUAAUAUUAUUAAUUUUUUUUUAAUUUGUUAAAAAUAAAUUUAAAUUGAAUAUAAUUUUAAAUAAGGAUAUUAAUUAAAUAUUAAAAUAUUUAUUAUAAUAAUAAAAAUAAAGUAAUAAUGAUAAAAUUAGUAUAAUUUAUUUAUUUAUUAAAUUAAUAAAUAUUUAAAAAUUAAUUUAAGUAAUUCGGCAAAAUUUAAUAUUCACCUGUUUAUCAAAAACAUGUCCUUUUGAAAAUAAUUUAAGGUCUAAUCUGCCCACUGAAUAAUAAUAUUUAAAGGGCCGCAGUAAUUUGACUGUGCAAAGGUAGCAUAAUAAAUAGUCUUUUAAUUGAAGACUGGAAUGAAUGAUUGAAUGAAAUAUUAACUGUCUCAAAUUAAUAAUUUAAAAUUUAAUUUUUUAGUUAAAAAGCUAAAAUAAUUUUAAAAGACGAGAAGACCCUAUAGAGUUUUAUAUUUUUUUUUUAUUUUUUAUUAUAUAAAAUAUAUUUUUUAAAUAAAAAUUAAAUAUUUUAUUGGGGUGAUAAAAAAAUUAAAAAAACUUUUUUUUAAAAAAAACAUUUAUUUAUGAAUAAUUGAUCCAAUAUUAUUGAAUAUAAGAGUAAAUUACCUUAGGGAUAACAGCGUUAUUUUUUUUUUUAGUUCUUAUAAAAAAAAAAGUUUGCGACCUCGAUGUUGGAUUAAGAUAAAAUUUAAAUGCAAAAGUUUAAAGUUUUAGUCUGUUCGACUAUUAAAAUCUUACAUGAUCUGAGUUCAAACCGGUGUAAGCCAGGUUGGUUUCUAUCUUUAAAAUAAUAAAAUAUUUUAGUACGAAAGGAAUUAAUAUUUAAAAUAAUUUUAAAAUUUUUGAAUUUAAUUAAAGUAUUU
rnacentral:rRNA from 1 species